GAUGAAGAACGUAGCGAAAUGCGAUACGUAAUGUGAAUUGCAGAAUUCAGUGAAUCAUCGAGUCUUUGAACGCACAUUGCGCCCCCUGGUAUUCCGGGGGGCAUGCCUGUCCGAGCGUCAUUGCUGCCCUCGAGCACGGCUUGUGUGUUGGGCCUCCGCCCCCCGGCUCCCGGGGGGCGGGCCCGAAAGGCAGCGGCGGCACCGCGUCCGGUCCUCGAGCGUAUGGGGCUUCGUCACCCGCUCCGUAGGCCCGGCCGGCGCCCGCCGGCGACCCCCCUCAAUCUUUCCAGGUUGACCUCGGAUCAGGUAGGGAUACCCGCUGAACUUAAGCAUAUCAAUAAGCGGAGGA
rnacentral:misc_RNA from 1 species